UCCGCAAUGGACGAAAGUCUGACGAAGCGACGCCGCGUGCGGGAUGAAGGCCUUCGGGUUGUAAACCGCUGUCAGAGGGGAGCAAAUUUUGAGCGAUCCUCAGAGGAAGCACAGGCUAAGUUCGUGCCAGCAGCCGCGGUAAUACGAACUGUGCAAACGUUAUUCGGAAUCACUGGGCUUAAAGGGUGCGUAGACAGAUAUAAAGGUCUGAUGUGAAAGCCCACGGCUCAACCGUGGAAUUGCGUUGGAAACCAUAAGCCUUGAGGGAGUCAGAGGUAAGCGGAACUGAUGGUGGAGCGGAGAGAUGCGUUGAUAUCAUCAGGAACACCGGUGGCGAAAGCGGCUUACUGGGACUCUUCUGACGCUGAGGCACGAAAGCUAGGGGAGCGAACGGGAUUAGAUACCCCGGUAGUCCUAGCUGUAAACGAUCAGUACUAGUCUGUGGGGACUUCCACAUCCUCUCGGACGUAGCGAAAGUGUUAAGUACUGCGCCUGGGGAGUAUGGUAGGAAGGCUGAAACUCAAAGGAA
rnacentral:rRNA from 1 species